UCAUGAAUUCGAAAAUGUUCG
rnacentral:piRNA from 1 species